GUUUUUGUUUCAUUUUCAGACCGUUAAAUGCCUUUUGAUAGUCCCUAAUCCAGAAUCUGCUUUGAAUGAGGAGGCGGGGAAACUUUUAUUGGAGCAGUAUGAAGAUUAUUCAAUGAGAGCGAAAUUAUAUACAGACAUACAUGCAAAACCUCCAAAAGCUUCAACAGAAUCAGGUUUAACAUCAUCAUUGAAGGGUAGCAUAGAAGGACCAAUGGCGAAAAAGCAUGCCGGUGACAAAAAACUUAUUGACAAAAAGAAAAAAGAGAAAAAGAAAGUGCUGAAGAGAUUAUGACACCCAUUAUAUCUGACAGACAUUAUGUUUAUUUUCCAUGUUAUUUAUACAUUUUGAUAUGUCGGCCAGACAUGUCGCCUCAUUCAGUUGACAUUCUUCAUGUUAGGACAAUGCAUUUGAUACAUAUAGGACGUAUCGGGUUGACAUUCAUUGGAUAUUAACCGUUGUGACAGUACGAGACACCAGCCGUGGCUAGCCCAGGGCCUACGUUCUUUAUAUAUAUAUCUCAGCAUCUAACUGGUGACAACGAUCUGAAAGGCAUUCUCUGAAAAGUUAUCAUUUUAUGAAUUUUUAAUCUUGUGAAAUCAACCAGUGAUUUGUCUUCACUAGCACGGAAGCAAGUUUAUUUGCAUGUUUGAUGUGCAUAAAGUUCUCUUUUGUACAUAGAGAAAUCUUAUGAUGGAGAUUUGUCUUUAAAUCAAUCAUGUGUAUCAUAAAAUCUUAAUAUAUAAUGUGAAAUAAAUGUACAAUAAAUGCAAUUUUUACAA